rnacentral:lncRNA from 1 species
UAAAAUCAAAUAUACGUGGAUUUUAAAUUAUAGUUUACACUAUUAUAUAUAAAUUAUUUAAUUCUCCAGACUUGAGCACAAAAUCCUACCAUUAUCUCCCACCCUGAUUGCCGCGUGUAGAGCAGUUCUACCAUUCGGGCCGCCGUAGUCCACUGAGAUGCAAUUAGUUAGGAUUUCAUCGAUCACCGUUUCUCGUUCUUGACCCCUUCUGGAAGCAGCUGCAAUAUAAAGUGGAGUUUCUCCAUGAACAUUGGCGGAAUAUGAAAACUCAGGGUCCUCUUUUGUCAAUAUUUCCACCACUUGGGCUUGGAUAUUUCGAGCUGCCACGUGCAACGCUGUAUCUUGCUCUCCAUCGGCCAUCCUCAACAUCUUCUUUUCUUCUGUUACUCCGCUCUCUAGAUCAGUAGGUCGAGCUUUUGCGCGGUCAAUGAGGACUCUUACCACGUUGGAACGCCCAUAUCUUGCCGCAAAAUGGAGUGGGAUUUCACCUUUCUUAUUGGCCUGCAAUAAUAGUGGUGGACACUUUUCAAGAAUUUUAUCAACAAAAUCAGUGGAUUCUGAUUCUCUACGUUGGUUUUCUAAAGUAGACAUGAAGAAUGGUGUUCUCGUCUGGAGUCAAUAACUGAUCAAGGCAGGUUUGAUAUUUCUCAAAGGGACCGAUAUCGCCUUUAGCUGCAGCUUUGAACAAGACAGGAUCCAUAUAGGGCGUCAUACUAUUUUGUAGCUUAGAGAAACUCACUAAAUGAAAAGUAAACAAAUGAAGGGGAGGUGAAAUUAACCACUGUGGCUCAAAGGCAAGAGGUUCCACUCCUCAACUGAUCACAAGCUGCUGAUUUCUUCGGUAUUUAAAGGAAGAAAAAGCGUUAAGAACCACAAAUUACAUUUAUUUUCCAUUUUGAUAUUGUGUCGCAAUAUCUUUGAUUCUGAAACACAGAAUAAAAGGAAAGGAUUAUCAUGCUGACACUCUUCUUUUUUUAUCUGAUACUUAGACACUUGUAUAUAUUAAAGUAUCUCGCUACAUCAAACUUAAAAAGUGAAUUAAAAACAAACACAUGCGCAAGCAUAUGCCUGCGCGCGCACAUAAACUAAAUCAGUAUUUCACUGUAAAUAUUGGAUAUACAUUCAUAAAAACAUUAUUUAGCAAAGAAACUAAAACAUUUUAUCACAAUUUUAAAAAAAAAUAUAUGAGUAUUUUUUCCUUCUUUUAUAAGCAGAGAAUAUUGAUACUUUAACAUAUAUAUAUAUAUAUAUAUAUAUAUAUAUAUAUAUAUAUAUAUAUAUAUAUAUAUAUAUCAAAGUAUCUCGCCACACCAAUAUUUUAAUUUGGGACAUUAAAAAAUUAAUCGAACACAUUACCUAUAAUUUAAAAUAUUAUGAGAAAGUACAAUGACAAUAAUACUUUCCCCACAUUUUCCCCGCAUGUUUUUGUGUGGCUCUAAAAAAUAUGUUUGCUUUUUUUUUUUUCAAUUACUAUUUUUUUUAAUUUUAUCAUUUUAAUAUUAGUUUUUUUUUAUUGGGUUAUCUCACUCACAAGAUAUGAAUCGUGAGUUUGGCAAAUUAACCUAGUUGGCUGGGAUUUUAUUCUUCAUUAUUUAACUUUUUUAUAAUUUUAUCAUUUAAUAUUGAUUUAAUUAAGAAUUAGACUUUAUAAUUUAUUUUAUUAGGUUAAUCAAUUCUCAUAACCCAAGAAUAGAUCUUAGUAGAUUAAUCUUGAGUUGAUUUGAUUGUUUUUUAUGUUUUAUGUUUAAUUGAAUUUCUUUUCAAUUUUAUCAUUGAAUAUUAUGUCAGUUAGAAAUUAAGUAUUCAUAAUCUAUUUUGAUUUCUUUUUUAUUAGGAUAUCUUGGUCUCAUGAUCAAGGUCGCAAGUUUUGGUAUUUUAACCCUAGUUAAAUCAAGUUGUUAUUUUUUUUAUUUUCUUUCAAGAGGUCAUCUUGGUCUCGUACGUGUCCUUCAACAUUAUAUUUGUUUUUUAUUGGGUUGUCCAUGUUUCAUGACCUAAAUUGCGUAUUUGACAAAUUAAUCCAGUUGACUCAAUUUUUUUAUAACUGACUUUUUUCUCAAUUUCAUUAUUUAAUAUUGUGUUUGAUUAAGAAUUAGGCUUUAUUAUUUAUUUUAAUUUAAUUUUUAUGAGAUUAUUUUAGCUUGAUGACCUAAAAAUAGUGCUUAACAGGUUAACAUUUAUUGACUUAGCUUAUUUUUUUAAUUAAUUUUUUUACAAUUUCAUCAUUUAGCAUUAGGUUCGAUAGGAUCGAUUGAGUAUGUGUUGGAUUAAUCAAUAUUUUAUUGAUUGAUUUAUUAAUAAGAUAUUUUAAUCUGGAAUACUUUGAAGCUAAGAUUAUAUAAAUUAUAUAAAUGUAAUUGUUGAUUAAUUUAUAAUGUUUAAGUUUUUUUUCUUGUUUGGCUUAUCAUAAAAGACAAUAGAGAUGAAAUGCUUUCUAUAUGCUCUUGAACUUGACAAAUGCUCAAAUGUGAAUAAAUCACUCGUCAACAUAACUUCCUAGCAAGGCAUGUUGUUUUUUGGGACAAUAAAAAGUUUUCAAAAAAUCUUUAUUGUUAAUUCCCUAAGCAUAACUUCCUAGCAAGGCAGAGGAUUUUGAAACACGAAAGAAAAAGGAAAGGAAGACCAUGUUGUAAUUCAAAGUAUCUCGUUAAAUCAAUAUUUAUCAAACUUCAAAAGUGAAUUAAAAACACUCAUAUAUGUGCAAGCAUAUGCACGCAUCCAUUUACAUAAACUAAAUCAACAUUUUACUUAUUAGAGAUUAAAUUUUUUAUAUAUUUUUAUUAUUUUUUUUCUAUAUUGUUAUCUCAGUUUUAUAACCUGAGUCGCAAGUUUGAUAAAUUAACUUGGAUUUUUUUUAAGUUCUUUUUUUAAUUGAUUUUGUUUUUAAUUUCAUCAUUUUACUUUGAGUUGAUUGAAAAUUAACCUUUAUAAUUUAUUUUAAUUUGUUUUUCAUGGGGUUAUCAUAGUCUUAUAACUCAAGUCACAGAUUUGACAUUUCAACCUAAGUUGAUCUAAGUCAAUCUAAUAUGUUAUUAUCUUAAUAUUAAAAAAAAAUAUCAUCUUGAAUUAUUUUUAGUCAAAUUAUGUUUUUAUUGGUCGUCCGAGUUAUUUUUGGACCCUCAAAAUCAAUCAUGUCAUAUUGAGUCAACACUAACACGGUUUAAAUUUCUUUUCCACUAAAAUAUACAUUAGCAAUAUCUAAAUAUUUUUUUAUGUUCAAGAAAAAUUUGACUCAACCUACAAUGUAGCUAGCGCGGGUCAAUAAUCUAGUACACACACUAAACUAAAACAAUAUCUCAGUAUACAUGUACAUACAUUCAUAAAACACUAUUAAGAGAAUCAAACUAAAAAAUUCAAUCACAAAUUGUUUUAAAAUUCUUUAUUUUCUAUUUGUAACUAACAGUUUAUUCCAAAUAAUGAAUGUUUUUUUUUUUUAAUACAACUGAAUUUUAUUUGAUAGCAAAUCAAGGACUGAGUAUUUUAGGCAAAAUUAUUAUUAUUAUUAUUAUUAUUAUUAUUAUUAUUAUUAUAUGAAAAUAUACUUACUAUGAUAUUAAUUAUUAAUAACUAUCUAAUUAGGAAAAUUAAUUAUUCAUACUAAAUACAAAUUUAAUAUCAUUAUAUAUAUUGUUUCAAACAAAUUCCAAAUUUGCAUUAUUGUGAAAAAAUAAGAUUUUUGUGAACAUUUGUUUGUAGUAUAUGCUGGAUUAAUCAAUAUUUUAUUGAUUAAUUUAUUAAUGAAAUUCAUUAAUAUGGAAUACUGUCAAUCUAAGAUUAUAUAAAUUAUAUAAAUGCAAUUAUUGAUUAAUUUAUAAUUUUUAUGUUUUUUGUAUUUUUUUUCUUUGUUUUCUUAUCAUAAAAAACACUAGAGAUGAAAAGUUUUAAAAAACAUUUUAUUGUUAUUUCCCUCUUCUAAAGCAUAACUUGCUAGCAAGGCAAAGGAUUUUGGAAUACAAAAGUGAAAAGGAAAGGAUGACUAUGCUAACACUUCUUCCUUUUUUAAUGUUCUUUAUAAUACUUAGACACUCGUGCACAUCAAUGUAUCUCACUACAUUAAUAGUUAUUGAACUUAGAAAGUGAAUAAAAAACACACAUUUAUGAAAUUUUAUUUGAUAGCAAAUCUGGAAUUGACUGUUUUUGUUUGAAAUUUUUUUCACAAAUUUUGGCUAAAAUUUAAAAUUUGUCUCAUUAUUGAAAAGCAUCAUCAUCAUUAUUAUUAUAAACCCAAUUUUUUAAUUUAAAAAAAAAAACAAAAAAAAUAAAUGGAUUAAAAAAUAAUUUGAGAAUUGGGUUAAAACAACACAAAUUGAAAGUUUGAGGAUUAAUAAUGAUGGAAUUAUAAAUUUGGUAGUCAAUGUGGUAAAACAUUAGAAGAAUUAAUAAGUUUGGGGACUUAAUUAAACUUUGAUUUAAAGUUCAAGGAUCAAAGUGCAAGCAAUUAAAGUUCAAGAAUCAAAGUGAAUAAGCAGUUACACUAUAGGGGUUAAUUGAUUUUUUCAAGGGUAAUUUUGAUUGAAUUAAAAGUUAAAAAGUCAAUUAAGGAGUGAAUUGAUUAAAUUGGAAACCAAGUACUGUUUUGUAAAUGGCUUUGAAAUUUAGGGAUUCAAUUGCAAUUUGAUUUAGGGGUAACAUUAAGGAAAAAAUAAAGAUUUUUCUUGAUUAGAAUCGUAGUUAUUUAGUGUCAAAAGUUUAAAGGUCAAAUUAAAAAUAGUUAUUUCGAGUGUAACAGUGUCAUUUUCUUAUCAUCUCUUCAUCCUCCUGAAAACCGGAUUCACAGGAAACACAACCAAAAAAAUUAAAGCUGCCAAUAUCCCCACCCCACCCACACGAUGAAUCUCCUGUUCAACUCUGAGAACCAUUGUAACGCAAACAUAAGAAAUGAAUUAGCUAAUGUGUUCAUAAGAAACAGAUAUAAAACUGUGGUACAAGGACCACAUGCAAUCGACUUUAUUCCUGCGUUUAACAGUAAAAACAUCAUAAAACCCGCAGAAACCUAUGACAAAUAAUAUCGAUUUAUGGCAAACUUCUUAUAGUUGUAGUUAUAUCAUAUAUAGGCUUUGAAGAGGUAACUAGCUUCUUAUCAGCAAAAGAUAUAUAAACACAAUCAGCAAACAAGCCACUUCAAGAUUUUACGAUUUAGGAAAUCAAAACAACCACAUGAUUUCUGACCAUAUGAUGUCACGAAAUUUUUUCAAAAACAAUAAGAAUUUUUUAAAAAGUACAUCUUUUAUUUGAUAGGAAAUUUAUAAUAGAUUGUUUCUCUGGAAUAACUUAUCUUAAAAAUCCUUGCCUAAACAAACUAAACAUUAAGAGCGUGAUUGAGAUUAUAAUAAUGAUUUAAAGAAUUUUUUUAUUUGAAAAUAUAUUAAAAUAAAAUUUUUUAUUUUUUAAAAUUAUUUUUGACAUCGAUAUAUAUUAAAACGAUUUAAAAAUAUAUAUUUUUUAUUUUAAAUAAAAAUAAAUUUUUAAUUUGUUUUUUAUAAAUAUAAUUAAAGAAGCUUAAACCAAUGAGUCAGACAUUGAUAGCAAGCCACAAGAAAGGUAAUUAAUAUCCUAUCAUGGUAAACAACGUGGCAACCCCAAAUAAUAUCCUAGUGGUUUCCUUGUCUAUCUUUUCAUCCUUGACCAUUUCCGAACCUUGAAUCAGCAAAAUCAAAAAGUGAAUGAAGACAGCAAAAAUUGAGAGCACCAUUGACAUUUCAUUUGAUAUGACAAAUACGAUAAAAGUAGUUUUUUUUAGCUAGAAUUGCAGUGCUCUGAUAUGACAAAUCAUCCCCUUUCUCUUUAUUUUUCUCAUCAUUCCCUCUUCUCAAAACCUGGCGCCGGCUGCUAGGCGGUCCACUGCCAACGUCUUCUAGGGAUUCUAGGAUCUCUUGCUGCAAAAAGCUUAGGGUAAAAUAUCGUAGAUAUCCAUCAUUUUUAGCUAUUUAAUAAAUAUCAUAUAUCAACUUCCGGGCUUUUAAUUUUCAGAUAACCCAAUAUAUUAUUGUUUAUUGUUACUCUCCUUAAUUGCUUGUAAGAUUAUGUUAAGUUUUUAUUUGAUUUUUCAACUUUAAUUUUCAGAUUUUUUAAAUUUUAAUUAAUUGUUUUGUUUUCAUUCAUUUGUACUACUUUUCGUUUUUAGAUGGAAGGGCUUGUUUCCUUCGUCAUCCUUCUUCGUUUUAAGUCUGUCAAGUUAUGGAAUCUCCCAUAGUUAUUGCCGCAUGUAGAGCAGUUCUACCAUUAGGGCCGCCAUAGUCCACUGAAACGCAUUUUCCUAUGAUUUCAUCGACUACCUUUCCUCGUUCUUCGCUCCCCCAUGGGAUGAUGGAAGCAGCAAUAUAAAGUGGAGUUUCUCCAUGAACAUUGGCGGGAUAUGAAAACUGACGGUCCUCUUUAGUCAAUAUUUUCACCACACGGCUCUGGCUAUUUCGAGCUGCCUCGUGCAACGCUGUAUCUCCUUCUCCAUUGGUCAUCCUCAACAUCAUUUUAGCUUUAGUUAUUCUGCUCUCCGGAUCUGAAGGUAGAGCUUUUGCACGGUGAAAGAGGAGUUCUACCACAUUGGAAUGGCCAUAUCUUGCUGCCAAAUGGAGGGGGGGUUUCUCCUUUUUUAUUGGCUUGGAAUAACAGUGGUGGACACCUUUCAAGAAUUUUAUCAACAAAAUAAGUGGAUUCCGGUUCCGUUGUUUGGUUUCUUAAGUAGACAUGAAGAAUGGUGUUCUCGUCUGGAGUCAAUAACUG